GCCCGGUUAGCUUAGUCGGUAGAGCGUGAGACUGUAGGUUCUUCCUGACUUCUCCAUCAAGUUAGACAACGUUCAACUAACAUCACUCCCCCAGUUUAAUCUCAAGGUCGCGAGUUCGAGCCUCGCAUUGGGCG